GGGUGCGGGUUCCGUACUGAUUGCGGCCAGGGAUGAGCCUCGCUUAGUGUCCUGCCCCCGGGUAGGAGAGAGUGGAGAAGCUUAAAAUGAGUGGCCAUCCCAGCACCCUGGGACAGGUGUGAGUCGUCUCUAACAAGCCUGGAUCCUCUCUGUGUUGACUGAUGGCGACCCCGUUGCUGUCCAUCCCACGCGAAUAAGAGCAGAGUCGUGUGGGAAUGCCGAGUUAGCGCCCUGUGGUGGGUUGUUCCCGGGGUUCACGCCUUUGGCGCACCGACUAGCUCAGGGAGGUUUCUGGCGCCCACUUGGCGCAGACUGCGGGACCCGCGGUGUUCACCUGCCCGGCUGGGCUCCGACGACCAGCUGUGAGGCUCCGGGGUGUGGAGCUCAGGGUCUGGGUCGGCGCGGGCGGAAAGGAAAUGGGAGCAGGUGUCUUAACACAACAUUUUUUGUUUAAUGCUGGAAACAUGAAAAAAUAUGUAUCGGUACAUGUUUGUAUACCAGUGUCAGUGCUCCUUAACUCUAUUCAUGGCUGCCUUGUGAACCUAUUUGAACCCGUGCAGCUGCAUGAUGGUCUUUGAUGUACAAAAAAGCCUCCACAUAAGGAUAAAGAGUUAUUGCCUCCCUGUGAAAUGCAUUCAUCUAUAAUACAAAAAAAGCUUUUAAAUGGCAUUAUACCUUCGCCUCACCAUCUGUACAGUAUGGAUAAUCAUAUUUUGCCAAUUCACAGGUGAGUGAUAAAGAAUAGACAAUGAAAAAUUACUGAAUAUACAACCAUACUCAGAGCCAAAACAAUAAGGAGAACAAAUGGUUAAGAGACAGGGAACAAACAGAUUGAACUUUCUAAUGACAUGCUAUGAGAAUCACGUUUAAGCUGAAACAGAAACAUUUUCCAACAAUAUUUACCUAUCAGAAUGUUCCUGUGGUUUAGAUCUGUCCACAAUCCAAACUCUGUGCAACAGCCAAAGAGAAAAAUAUGUCCCGCUCUUAAUGUGUGUUUGGCAUGUUAUAUGAGGGAUCAGCUAAUGAUAACUUCUCUGAUUUUAUGUUGUAUUUAAUAUUGAAUUAUACCUUUAAUUAAAGGAUUGAGCAGUGCACUGUAUAUGAAGGGCAAGGUCUAGGGUAACUGUAAGUGGUAUGAAAAACUCCUCUUUUUCUACAGGUACUGAAAUUUAUUAACAUGGCAUAAGUAAAAUAACCAGCAAACAUUUGUGUCUCUUUUAUAAUUUCAGAUUCUAAGGAUACCAAAUCUAUCUGCCCAAUUUGGGUAAGAUGUCUACCAUGGAUAUUCAUGUAUAUUUACAGUAGUAAAUUCAAAUUACAAAUAUGGCUCCUUUAAACAAUUUUCUGGGACUUAGCAUCCACUUCUGCUUUUAUAAUGGGAUAUUCCCAGAUAUGGGAAAAUCACUGUGAAUCAAGAAAUCCCCUGGUUGAUGACUUCUAAAAGCUAACAAAUGGUAGUAAUCCUUUGGCAUACAAGAAAGAGCUAAGCUAGCAUGUUCAUUUUCUUCUCUUUAUGCUUGAGAAAACAUUUCUACCAUCUACUGCCUGAUAAAUAACUUCAUCUUAACCCCUUUACCCUCCAUGGAAGAAAAUCAUUUUGGAAAUUCAGAGUUAGAAAGUUAUGUGUUUCCAAAUUCCUUCCUUUGUAUGAUGUUCUGGGAGAUUUCUCUCUUAAUAUUACAUCUUUCUUUUACUAACCUCCCUUAAUUUUUUUCUUCUGUAAAAUUUGAGCUUCUUAUAAGAAAAACAACACAAAUAAGUAUUUGAUGGGCCCUGAUCAGCGUUAGGAAAUUCAGAAGGAAAGAGAAUUUCAAGGAUGGGUAGUCAAAACUGUUAGGUUGAUGCAUAGUGGAUGAAAAGUAUAAAGCAGAGAAAGGCCAUUUUGUUUUGUGAUUAUCAUUGGUGACCUUCAGAAAUGCAUUUUCAUUUGUGUAGGGGCAGAAGGUCAAAUACAUUGAGCUAAGGAGUAAAGAACAUUGAGAAAGGAAGUGGAGGCAGCAAGUAUAGAACACACUUCAAAUUUUUGAGACUGAAAUGAACAGAAUUAAAUUGUUUACAAGUCACUUGAAAUAAAAGUUCACCAUUAUACCUUAUGACUUCUGAUGAUAUACUAACUCCAGGAACACUUUUGGAAGAUCCAAACGUGUGCAUAGCUUAUGAAGAAAAGUAAGAAACUUUUUUUUUUUUUUUUUUGACAGGCAGAGUUGGACAGUAAGAGAGAGAGACAGAGAGAAAGGUCUUCCUUCUGUUGUUUACCCCCGCAAAAAUGGCUGCCACAGCCGGCACACUGCGCUGAUCUGAAGCCAAGAGCCAGGUGCUUCCUCCUGGUCUCCCAGGCGGGUGCAGGGCCCAAGCACUUGGGCCAUUCUCCACUGCCCUCCUGGGCCACAGCAGAGAGCUGGACUGGAAGAAGAGCAACAAGGACAGAAUCCAGCGCCCCAACCGGGACUAGAACCCAGGGUACCUGCACCACAGGCAGAGGAUUACCCAAGUGAGCCACAGCACCAGCCAGUAAGAAACUUUCUUAGCCUCUUGUCCAUACCUCAUUUUAGUGCAUGUACAUCAGUUUUGAAUGGAUGCUCUUUUAUCAUUCAUUAUUUUUCUCUUUCUCAUCCUUCUAUUUUCCCUUUCCUCGCAGGAUCAAGGUAAGCAGAAUACCUUUCUGUGCAGGCAAUAGAUACUGUUGUUUUGAGCUUUUAUCCUGUCCUCAAUUUGAAAUGCUUUAGAGCAUCUGGAUUCAUUUGAAUAUAAUCUUUAAAAGGUAGGGGCCGUUGCUGUGGUGCGGCUGGUAAAGCUCUGGCCUGAAGUGCCAGCAUACCAUUGGGCGCCGGUUCUAGUACCGGCUGCUCCUCUUCCAAUACAGCUCUCUGCUAUGGCCUGGGAAAGCAGUAGAAGAUGGCGCAAGUCCUUGGGCCCCUGCACCCGUGUGGGAGACCCGGAAGAAGCUCCUGGCUCCUGGCUUCUGAUUGGCGCAGCUCCAGCCAUUGUGGCCAUCUGGGGAGUGAACCAGCAGAUGAAAGACCUCUCUCUUUCUCUGUCUCUACCUCUCUCUCUAACUCUGUCUUUCAAAUAAAUAAAAUAAAUCUUUAAAAAAAAAUCUUUAAAAGGUAAACAACUCUUUAUUAACAAUGAUUGCCUUAAAGGAAGUGAAUGAAGAAACAAGAAAUGUGUACUUCCCAUGGGCAUACUUAUAGCAACAUGAAAAGUCCCAGUGGAGAUGUAGUGAUGAAAAUGGAAGACUUAUUAUUUAGCCAACUAAUCUGAGACCCCUACAUCGCAGUCACCUGACAAGCUUAUCUGUAUACAGUUUUGUCAAAGAGAAAAUGAGCUUAAUCUUGGAAACAGAAAAACAUACCUCUGCUUCUAAGGUGUAAGCAUAAGAAAAGGGUCAAGAUGAGCAUUGUGGUAAAGUGGCCAGGUGAGUACAUCAGUAGCUCACUUAUAAACCUCAAUUCCCCAUAGUGUAGAGAGCAAAGUCACCUGAGAGAGAAGUUAACUGGUGGAAUUGUGAGCUGAGAAAAAAUAGUUUUAUAAUGAUCUUUGUGCUGAAUUCCCUAGGAAUCAACAAUAUUUUGUUGUUUAUGAGGCACAUUUUUUCCUAACAUUUUAAUAGCUGAUGGCAACUUAAAUCACUGCUGACUAAAUUUUGAUAUAUUUGCUACUUUCAGCAUAUGUGGGAACUUCAUCAUGGCUAUUCAUAUUGUCACUUAACUUGAGCUAUGUGCAUUGUUGAAAAUGUCAUCAAAGAGAUUACUCUGUGAUUCAGCUCUGAAAUAAUAAGUUAUUUUGUACUCAGAAGAGCAUGGCAAAAGCAGUGGGGUAUGAAUUUGCUAUUAAUGAAGCAAAUAUUCAUCAGAAGAGGAAUGAAUACAAUUCCAUAAUUUCUUGCAAAAACAACUAAAGCUUUAAUGGGAUCCACUCAUAAAAGAUAUUCACAUAUCUAUUACUGAGAUGUUCGUUACAAGAUUGGCUAUCAGAAACCAAGCGUUGUAGCUGAAAUGAAGGAAAAUUGCAACAGAAUAAAUUAAUGAACUUUCAAAGUAAUAAAAAGCUGGUGUGACUAAUUCAAUUGUAGCACAAGAUUAUCAAACUUCCCGUUAAAUGAAUAGUAGCAUUUUUACUCUCAGCAACAUUUGAUUCAAUUGAGGAAAUGAUAAAUACAAGUUUAGUCAAACAGGACAAACUGAUGAAUAUUAAGGGUACUAAAAUGAUGAAGAUCAUGAUUGUGGAUGUAGGAAGGCAAAGUCAUCAUGUGUAGUUAUACAUGAUUGCUAAUGGCAAAACAUUUCUUCCAUGUUGAAUUUCGAGAGAUACUUCAGCAGAGUAUUUCUCUCAAAAUAUUACUCUGUAUUUGCAUGAAUUCGCCUAGGUGCACACACUUGUAAACACAAAUGGAUGGGUAAUAGAGCAGAUGGACUGGCUGUGUGUUAUAUAAAAAAGACACCUAGGAUCACUUCUUAGCAAGUGUCAAUAUUUAAUUUUCUAGAGUCUUUUUGCUUUUUAUUUAUUAACCUUCUUGGUGAAGUAGUAAGCCUUUUAC